UUGAGGUUAGCGAAAACCAAAUACUUUGGCUUCGGAGCUUCUAGACAAUUGACAGUUAGAAUUAUUGGGGACUUAGAAAUUUUACACCCGUAUUUUGAAUUUCUCUAAUAGAUGAGAAUUUCAAAAUACUGGUAAAAUUGCUAAGUCCCCAAGAGGUACCGAACUAUAAGUAACAUAUCCUAUACAUAUAGGUACAUAUUAUUAUAAGGUACCUACAUGAAGUUUUUUAUUUAAAAUAUUGCUAAUAUGUACUAUAUAAUUAGGUUAAUAAGUAUAUUUUGAAUUUAAUUUACAUUUAUAUAGAUAAUCUACCAAGCGAAGUGAGGUUUUUCAUUUACUGUCUUAAACUCAAUGAUGUAUAAGUUGUAUAUGAUGUAUAAGUAGUAUAGGUACAAUAUGUAUACUUUUCAAAUUGCCCGUCAAAUCCAGAGAACUGUCAAUUGUCUAGAAGCUCCGAAGCAAAGUAUUUGGUUUUCUCUAGACGCAAGUGUGAACGUGAGCCUUGGAUUGCCAUUGUUUCUCGAGUGUUCGGUCUGAAUCGUAGUGUGCGGGGUCAUUAGACUCAAUUAUUCACCUCUAAUUCUCAGUUCCAAAUUGAUUAAAUAUUACAAUAAAAGUAUAGUGAAGUUAUCCAGCAGCAGUGGAUUUGAAGAAUUUUAGAGCAUACUAUAUCCAAUGAGUUCUACCCCGCACCUACCAUGAAAUCUUAAAGCCACCCUACAACAACACCAAGGCCAGACCACACAGAGAGAAACAAUCAAUAGGCGACCAGCCUGGAUUAUUUCCACAUUUUCUUUUUUUGAGUACCUCCAGCUGCUUUCCA